rnacentral:rRNA from 1 species
UCCACGCUGUAAACGAUGGUCACUCGUUCUUGGCGAUAUACAGUCAGGGACUGAGCGAAAGCAUUAAGUGACCCACCUGGGGAGUACGUUCGCAAGAAUGAAACUCAAAGGAAUUGACGGGGGCCCGCACAAGCGGAGGAACAUGUGGUUUAAUUCGAUGAUACGCGAGGAACCUUACCUGGGUUUAAAUGUUGGGCGUUUUCGGACGUAGUUUUCCGAAAGGGAACUUAGAC